CUAACAUUAAGCUAAUUGAGGAAUUGAUCUCCAACAAUUAAAUGUAAUGUUAAAAGCUCGUUGAGCCAAUUUAUUUCAAAUAAGUAAUGUGUAAGUGGCACGGCCUUGUUGAAUUUCCUUUUGAGUUUCACGCUCUGUGGCAUUAUUACAAUGAUGUUCACAUUUUUCGUCAACAGUAGUCAUCCUUCGGGUUGGUGGUGAUAAGCUUUAUUCUGAGCAAAGCCACUAGGUUGCUAAACUACUGUUAUCUUAACAAUUUGUGAUUUAUUAUUGAAUGUCUUUGCUUGCAAGUGUGUACGGGGACAAGCUGCGCGGACAGGUGGAAGAGCGCUUGUCUUUCUAUGAGACGGGCGACGUGCCACGCAAGAAUCUGGAUGUCAUGAAGCUGUGAAAGAGGCUACUGAGAUCAAGCGGAAACGCAAGAAGCGUGAAAAGAAGACGCUGGCAAGACCAACGGUGAAGCUGAGGCAGAAAAUGGAGACGCAGACACAAAGCCAGCGGCCGAGGAGAUGGAGGUCGAGGCAGAGGAAGCCCCUGCUGCACAGAACGGAGCCGAGGAAACCCCAGGGAAAAAGACGUGGAGGUUGCUGUGGUCGAAGAUAACGGAGCAGAGGUGUCUCUGUCUCUGUGUGCGUGUCUGUCUGUGAGCCACAUGAUGACAUGUAUAGAUGCCGCAGCCUCCGGGCCGUGAGGACCUCUCAUCUAUCACCCUAGUCUGAUGGCUGCUCGUUAAUGAGGACCAGUGUUUCCGCC